CGGCUUCUUUUCAUCCUUCUCGGAGGAGGUCACGACUUGAAGUGUGUCGUCCUUCCCUGCCACCAAUUUCGUAGCAUUCCCAAGCGCCUUAAUAAGAAAAUCUAGCCACUUCUCAUCCAUCACCAGCAAGUCUUUCAACUUAUCCAGGUGGAUGGGAAGGCCUUCACAUCGACCUUCAAGAUGUUCACACAGGAGCACGAAAUGUCCCUCUCUACAAAUUGGUGGCACCACACAAGAUAUUUCUCGUCCUUCGCCAUCAAAUCUUCGAGCUCAUCCACGCGCGUGGAAACCUUCGAGACGACGGCGGGGGCCACACAGGAGCACCGAAUCUCCAACGUGUCCGCCUCCAUCAAGUUGAGCACGUUCGUCUCAAUCGGGCAACCUCAUGGGCGGUUACCGUAAUAGCCUGGGCCCCAACAUUAAAGAUCCUCUUGCUCAGGGUAAUGAAGACCAUGCAAAAUUCAAAACAAACUCCUCAACUUCCAGACAGCUAUGGACAGUUUUCCUCGAAGGGUAAUAAAAGCACUUGCUUCCAAGCGGGAGCCAACGUUUCGUAAUCCCUUCCAUCUACAACAAUUAAAUGCUUCAAUUCUUCGGCAGGGUGGUUGCUGGUUACAGGUUUAUGGAGUCGCUGUGACGUGCUUCAACGACAUGUACGACAUUUGUCAAAUUGUGUCCACAGCGUUCCCUCUCAAUCAAACUCAGAAGGCAACAACGUGAGUAGUUUAAAAAACUAGUUGAAAAAACUUUUGAUAGUUUUACUUUCCACCGAGGAAUGACCAUAGUGGAGAUGUGAGAAUCUGUUCGUGUACGUCCACCCACUGAAAUGCGCACAAGAUGAGUCUUGAUUGAACUCUUCUGCCUUCAGCCAUACUAAAGGUUUGCGAUCUUCCACGUGGGGGAAAUUCCUACAAUAAAUCACCAUCCUUAAAUGCAAAAAUAUAAAACCCACAGCA